UACGUAGGGGGCAAGCGUUGUCCGGAUUUAUUGGGCGUAAAGAGCGUGUAGGCGGCUAGGUAGGUCCGUUGUGAAAACUCGAGGCUCAACCUCGAGACGUCGAUGGAAACCAUCUAGCUAGAGUCCGGAAGAGGAGAGUGGAAUUCCUGGUGUAGCGGUGAAAUGCGCAGAUAUCAGGAGGAACACCGGUGGCGAAGGCGGGUCUCUGGGCCGGUACCGACGCUGAGGAGCGAAAGCGUGGGGAGCGAACAGG
rnacentral:rRNA from 1 species